CAGUCGCCACGGGAAUGCGAAGGGGGCUAGCGUUGUUCGGAAUCACUGGGCGUAAAGGGUGCGUAGGCGGACUCUUAAGUCAGGGGUGAAAUCCCGAGGCUCAACCUCGGAACUGCCUUUGAUACUGGGGAUCUUGAGUCCGGAAGAGGUGAGUGGAACUGCGAGUGUAGAGGUGAAAUUCGUAGAUAUUCGCAAGAACACCGGUGGCGAAGGCGGCUCACUGGUCCGGAACUGACGCUGAGGCACGACAGCGUGGGGAGCAAACAGGAUUAGAGACCCGAGUAGUCCCUGUCUCUUAUAC
rnacentral:rRNA from 1 species